UACUACGGGAGGCAGCAGUGGGGAAUAUUGCACAAUGGGCGCAAGCCUGAUGCAGCCAUGCCGCGUGUAUGAAGAAGGCCUUCGGGUUGUAAAGUACUUUCAGCAGUGAGGAAGGUGGGUAUGUUAAUAGCAUACUCAUUUGACGUUAGCUGCAGAAGAAGCACCGGCUAACUCCGUGCCAGCAGCCGCGGUAAUACGGAGGGUGCGAGCGUUAAUCGGAAUUACUGGGCGUAAAGCGCAUGCAGGUGGAUGAUUAAGUCAGAUGUGAAAGCCCGGGGCUCAACCUCGGAAUAGCAUUUGAAACUGGUCAUCUAGAGUACUGUAGAGGGGGGUAGAAUUUCAGGUGUAGCGGUGAAAUGCGUAGAGAUCUGAAGGAAUACCGGUGGCGAAGGCGGCCCCCUGGACAGAUACUGACACUCAGAUGCGAAAGCGUGGGGAGCAAACAGGAUUAGAUACCCUGGUAGUCCACGCCGUAAACGAUGUCUACUUGGAGGUUGUGGCCUUGAGCCGUGGCUUUCGGAGCUAACGCGUUAAGUAG
rnacentral:rRNA from 1 species